CAUGUUUUAACUCUUUACACAGCUCCAGAGUACAGGUCAAACAGCCUUUCUCUGCCCAGACCGAGCGGGGGGCAAACAGCUCACAGGGAGGAAAUGACCCCCCUGAUUUUUGUGGCCUUUCAUUUUCCCUGUAACAGGAAGAUGGAUCCCUGAAGGCUUCAGCUCCAUCUGCGGAGGAGGGCAUUUAUCCUGGCUCAAUAAACUCCAGUACUAAUUUACCCAGAACCUGACAGUUUUGCAGUGUUUGCUGCUAGUUCUUUGCUAAUGCUUUUGGGUAAAACACAUAUUUCGAAGCCAUUCUUACAGAAGGUGAGGAAAAUCCAAACCAGACAACCAGUGAGAACACCAAUGUGUUGGUGACAGUCACAGAUUAGCACCACUAAUGCUCUUAUUCCUUCAUUUCAGGUACUACAGUCUCCACAGACUCCUCCGUCCAGGCUGUAACAGGUACCUCCUGGGUUGUGAUCUGCUCUGGAUGUCUGUUUGGAUGUGGGUGCACGUGCCCACAUGGGGAUGCAAGUGGAGAGUCCACAAAUGGGAACCAGAUUCAACACUCCCCUCAGCUGAAGCAUCUUUUCCCAGGACCCUGCGUUGCCCACCUCUGCCUGCCCCAUCUAUCAUCUUUCACCCCCAGAUCUCCAGGGGCCAUGAAGGGCAUUGCACCCCAACGGAUGACCAUGCCAUGGCUCCCCUUUUUGCCUGGAAGAGAGCAAUUCCAGGAAUCCUAGUGAAAGAAGGAGGAUCCUGUCUCCUCUUUGCUCCCAAUCUCCCCCAGCUGUUUCCUAGCAGUUUGCAUGCCCUCAUCCAUGGAUCCUCAGAGCCAAGGCCCCACUGCCCACAGAUCCAACCCCACAGCCACACCAGUCACAAAUUCCCUCCUUAGCAUCCCUUGCCCCCAUCACCCUUUCAGCUCUUACUGGUUAUACUGGUCUCUUUCCAGCCCAUCCUUCAAUCCUCCCUGUGGGGAUCCCACCAACAAGGAGCAUGUGGAGAUGUCACCUCCAUGUCUCUGCUUGUGUUACAGGUCAAUCCCAAUCGACAACACACAGCCCUGAAGUGAAGAACCACACCUCAGAGCCUUCAGUAAAAUCGAUGACACCAGCUGACCUGAAUCUCACCUCCGUGGGUCAGACGACGACAGCCAAAUCCUCUUCGCUCGCUACAACGCUACUGGCGUUGAUCAUGCAAGAUGAGAAAUCUAGUGACAGCAGAAGCACAGCAGCUUCACCACCUCAAGGUCAAGAGCCCAAGACAAGCGAGAGUGCCACGACAUCCACAACUCAAGGUGCUUCCUCCUUCCUCUCACAGAGAGGCACCUCAAAACCCGUCACACCAACACCGGAGUCCUCUGGCUACUUGCCUGAGCCCACUCCGACGGAUGACAAGUCACCGCUGACGGUGGUAGCUUUUGGUAAGGUCUUGUGCAACCUGGGGAGAGGAAGGGGGGUCUGGUUCGGACACCCAGCUUCAAAGAUGCUUCCCUGGAGAUGGCUCCACAGUUUUCUCCUUCAGUGUGCCUGCUCCUGGAGUUUUCAGAGUGCAAGGGAAAACCCUAGAGAAAAAGACUUGCCACCAACAGGCAAUAAAGCACCUAAUAAAUACUCCCAGCCGUGCCCAGUAUACAAGGGACAGACAGUUUGGAAAUCCACCACGGCUACACCUGAGCUUGGGAUCUUGCUCCCAGCACCAGUGUUUGCCCCAGCUCCACAUUAG
rnacentral:lncRNA from 1 species